GGGUUUCAAAAAAGUGACAUGGAAGAGAAAUCUCUUGAGGUUGUUACAUAGAAAGACACCACCCUCUCAAGCUCCUGAGGUUUCAUAGCAUACUUUCUUUGAUUUUUAUACUCUUCCCUGACAUCUGCUCUUGGUCAUUCCGUGCUGCCAGAGCUCCUGACUGGGUGAAGAGAACAUCAGAAGAGACUCUUCCUGAACUUCACCAAGCAGUAUGGCCUCGUAAUUUGGCUGUCCAGGCUGAAUGUCUCAAGGAAAUGCUUGUGUACUAAGAGGAAAUAAUUCAGGUAGGUGCAGAAUGCCUAAUUAUGGUCAACCUAACUAAUUUGGGUUAGAAAUGGAGGAGAUUCUGUCAAAGUCAUUACAGCUACCCUCUGCAAGUAAGUAACUUUGCUGGAAGAGAAAAGGUGAUUGGUAGUGUCUGAGCAGCAUCACAGCAGCUCUAACUACACAAAUAGAAGAACUGGCAGAUUGU